UGUGUGUGUGUCCUCUGUGUGUGUGUGGUGUGUGUGUGUCCUCUGUGUGUGUGUGUGUGUGUGUGUGUGUGUCCCGCAGGAGGACGUGGCUUCUUGCAGGUUUCUCUUGGGCACCCUCUGGAGCUAUUUAGUGAUGCUUCCUCUUCCUGCCAUUUCCCAUCCCGUUCAUGGACUUUUCCCUGUGCGUUACUCUCCUGGUUUGGAAAGGCUCCAGGGUAAGCUUGAGAAGGAAAAACUAACUCCCUACCAACCGUGUGCUGUGAGCAAACACUGUCUCACUCUCCAACAGGACCGCGGCAGCCUGGGCCUAUGCUGAGGAGCCCACUGUGCCUCUGAGGGCAGGGAUGAUUCCCUAGCAAAGUGUCUGCACCCCAGAGAGGGAUUUCCCUACUAGAUGACGGAGGUACCUUCUGGUUGUCUAUCAGUCACCAUCGGCUUGAAUGACUGACUGUAGCACCAGUGUGUUCCCCUCUCCCUCACCUACAUAUGGACAACUCUCAGUCACCACACACAGUGGGACUUAGCUGGUAGUAUACAUUCUGUCAGGUGUAGUCAUUCAGUGACCAUCUCCUGUAUGCAGAACACUGCCUACCGGUCCAGCGCAUGGAGAAGGCUGAGGCAGUCCUAUUCUUAGUCUCCAGGCACAGGGUUUUAAGUGUAUAUGCUACGGCUGAGCCUCACAUGAGCUUGGGCUACCAUCUUUAUGUUUGGAAGGUUUCAAUUUCUCAUUCAAUUAGGAAAGUGUGCCCCAACCUGCAGGAGAUGCCACUGGUCGGAUCUGUCACCUUCCCCAGAUACAGAGGCAAACCCAAGUUGCUUUUCUGGCUUAACAGUGGACACCUGUUUCUGCACUUAGCAGUCAUUCUCAUGGCUUUCAACCUUAGGAUGUAAGAGUGCACAUAUCCUGAUUCCCUCAGGAGGCUUACAAUCAUGGGUAUAUGGUUUUACCUGGUUCUUUUCUUAACUUUUUUUUUUUCUUGACAGUAUUUCUCUAUGUAUCUCUGGCUGUCCUGGAACUCUGUGUAUACCAAGCUGGCCUUCCUUGAACUUACACAGAUCUGCCUGCCUCUGCCUCUGCCUCUGCCUCCCCAGUGCUGGGCUUAAAAGUGUGCAGACCACACCUGGUCCACAUUAAGCAUCCUAAGCAUAACUGAUGUGUGGUAGUACUGGGGGGUAGAUUCCUGGAAAGUGUAAUCUCCGGGUGAAUUAGGACAUUAUUUUACAUGUUUCUUUUACAGAAUAAUAGUAUUUGCUUUCCUCUCCCUUUAAGACUGUAAAAUCAACAGUAAAAUCUGUUAGUCUAAUGUAUGAGAUAUUCUGUGCAUUUGUUCCCGGGUGGUUCUUUUGCGUUCUGUAGAAGCUGUGUCUGUGAGUAGGUAUCAAUGGCUGGGGUAUUUUCUGUUCGCCUUCCUGACACUGACGCUGGAGUGGGUGUGUAACUUUUCUCACACCAGCUGGUCUUUCUGCCCAGCGGACAGCUCAGCACUUUCACCAUCUGGUCAGUGUCAAACGGUGUGCAUGUGAGGACCCUGUACUCCAGGCCUGCCCUCACUUCAUUGCUGGUCACCAGGAUGCCACUCCACUUCUGUCUGGCGUGGCUACCCAGUUGUGCUUGGUAACGGGCCACAGUGGUUCCCCAGGCCAGGUCACUGUUUGACACAGUUAACUGCUCCUUACCAAGGACACAGAACACAGCAGAAGAUGUGGUCUGAGGAGCGCUGAGCAGGUUGCCUGCCACACUGCCCACAAUGCUCACAGCAACCCUCGGGAUCUGACCAUUUGCGUAUUCCAUUACACAGGCAACUGCCAGUCAACCUCCCACACCAAAGGCUGAAGUGUGGAGCUGGCUGUUACAAGCUCCUAAAUGGACUGUGGUCUUCAGAGAAAAAAGAGCUUCCACCCUGGGUUUAAUACGUAGGGGUCUACCAAGAGUUGUCUUGUCAGUGCUGGGAAGGAAUGAGCCCUGGGACCCAUGUGAAAACGAGGAAAUCCCAAGUGUUUUAGAGCUGUGUGCUAGGAACGAGACACCAAGACUACACAUCUUCCUAGGAUCCUGCACUGACCUUAGCCUGGUUUUGUCUGCAUCUUCGUAACUUAGAACCCCGAGGCAUAGUGGGAUGUCCAUCUUCCUUGCUGAAAAUGCUUCCACCUCUGUUCUUUAGCCUAUGUCUGCCAUCUACCCGCGAUUGUUUGAUGUAUUUAGUUUCUGUCGCUGUGAUUAAAAACCCGGACAAAAAGUGA